CUUGAACAUUGAAAUAUGAAUAAAUGGGCAUUUUUGGCCGUGGCGGACAGGAUGGAGCCAAAGGAUGCAUCCGCUGGUUGGGUACACGUCCACCGCAUCUCAGGACAACCCCACAGACGAUCCUAUUGCCCUAUCCAAAUGGACAGAAUCCGGACAAAACGGACGUCGGUUUGUAAUCGUGCGCUGGAGUUGGCCUGGCAAACUGAGCCCAAGAUGGCCUUUUUUUAGGGAAAGCCCAAGAUGGCCUAAGAGAGGCUUCGCUACCGGCGGGCCCGCCAAGAAAUUGGUUGUAAAUAAACUUAGGGCGACGCUAGGCGCCGGCGCACCGGCCGAAGUUUCGGCCGGUCCGCUGCCAGGCGUUGGAUCCUGUACAAAUAAACGGUCUGGAAAGCGCGAUUGAGUCGUCUUCUCUCUUCCACACACGCGUGAAGAAAAAAGAAAAAAAAGGGAGAUCUCCAUGCUCGCCGCCUGUCUCGCGCAAUCCAUGCUUGCCGGCCACCCCCGCGCUCGCGCCCAUGCUUACCGGCCACCCCCGCGCUGCCCGUGCUUGCCGGCCACCCCCGCCCGCGGCUAAUCUUCGCCGAGCCUGCAGAAACACCAUGAAAAAAAGGAUGUAGCUAAUCUUCGUCAUGAAUGGACGUAGCAAAAACAUUUGCCGGUUGUAGCAAAAUCGACGACGCUUCCAGCAAAAAAUCCAAAGAUGAUAGUAGAACAAAUAGGUGCUAGUUCCAGCAAAAACUAAGACAAUGGUAGCAAAAAAAUCAUUUGGUUCCAGCAAAACACAAAGACAGUGGUAGCAAAAAAAUCAUUUGGUUGCAGCAAAAAGCAAAGCAAUGGUACCAAAAAAAAGAGUACUGGAUCUUGCAAAAUUCAGAGACGAUGGUAUUACCAAGUAGCAAAAAUUACCGUCAGUAGCAGCAAAACACAUCUCUGUUUCCAGCAAAACAACAUCUUGGUUCCAGCAAGAUUCAGAGACGAUGGUAGUACCAUGUAGCAAAAAUUACCGUCGGUGGCAGCAAAACACAUCUAUGUUUCCAGCAAAACAAACAUCUUGGUUCCAACAAAAUUCACCGCUGGCACCAAUUCGAGCAAAGGAAACACCAGUUCCAACAAAAAAUUCCUCCCAUAGCAGAAAACAUAUCACUGGUUCCAGCAAAAAUAGAACUUGGUUCCAGCAGAAAAUCACCGCCGACACCGAUCCAAGGAAAAAGAACACACCAGUUCCAGCAAAAAUUACAGCUGGUAGCAGCAAAAAACACCACGGGUUCCAGCAUCCCUGAUGUCACCGUUUCCAGCGCCGCCGCAUCCCGCAGGUGGCCGUCGCCGGUCGCAGCUCCUAGACGGCCGGUUGCAGCUUCCCACAAACCGAUUGCAGCAAAAAAGUAAGGACCUCCGAAGUAGCAGGCACGGCUGCUGAUCUGCUGGUGGCCGCUUCGGCUCCACGGCAACACUCGCGACGGUGGCACACCAAAUGACAGCCGAGUAAUAAGAGGUGGAGCGGUGGGAGCAGCGGCGUCACAGGAGGUGGAAGAAAAAGAUGGAUGUGGAUUGAUUGUGUGGCCAGCAGCACCCGCGAGAGAGGAUAAGGGAAGUGGGCGGUUGUGAGUGGACGCGUGGCUCUCGUACAUGAGCGUACGCGCGUGACUGAGCGAGUCGACCGGCCGAAGCUUCUUCGGCCGGUCCGCCGGAUUUAAACGUUUCCCAUAAACUUAUACCAUACCCUAUAUUCUCUUCUCUGUCCUCUCAUCCGCCGUGCGUGACCGCCGCCGCGAAUCGUCCCCAACGCCGAUCUGGCUGGACCCUCGCCGUAUUAGCCGUCCCCGACCUCGCCGUGGCCAGUCAUGGCCGGAUCCUCCCCGCCUAACCGUACCCGAGCUCGCCGUGGCUCGAUCUCGCCCGACGAAGUGAGGCGACGGUAUGAACCGACCGGCAGAGGGAGGAAGGGAGGUACCUGCGGUGGUGGCGGCGGCGCCCGGCGACCAUCUGGUUCUGAUUCGGCCGCGUCCGGCUCCUAUUCAAUGUCAGGUAGAUCUGAUUCGAUCGCGUCCGACACGGAAUCCGGGUCAGACAGAGGGAGCAGCAGAUCGAAAAAAACCAGGAUGUCUAAGCGGCUCCAGGGAGAGGAGAUACAGGCAAACUGCGCCCGCAAAAGGUCACGACCUUCUGAUCAGAAGCACCUCUAUCUGGUGCUGGAUGACUGGAAAGAUGGGUUCAGCAUUCACAAGAUUGACGCCGACGACGAUGACGCGGACCUUGGCCAGCCACCGGUCCUCCGGUUGGUGU
rnacentral:rRNA from 1 species